UAUCCUUGGGUAUGUUUGGUUUACCUAUCUUGUAUAUCCAGGUGUAUCACCUUAUAUGUUGACUACAAAAUGUGGCUUUGAGAACUCAAACUAAGGUCCAUUUUAUGACUUUACAGGGAAACUUCCGAAUUGAAAUACAGUAAGUCCCCUACAUACAAACCUUCAAGUUGUGAACUUUCAAAGAUGUGAACAUUCCUCUGUGUGCCAGCUGCUGUACUGUACUUUUCAAGUGGCUGAGGAGUCCAAGAUCAAGGUGCUGGUAAGCCUCUUCUCCAUCGAUGAAACAGUUGUGGAAGGGCAGACUGACAACCACAGACAUUGCAAAAUUUAUUUGCUUGCAGCUGUUUUGGCAACAGAAGAAAAAAAAUCCCCAUAACAAAUCAAAUAAAAGCCCUUUCUGUGAAGAGGAAUUGAAAACAGCAGGCCUCAAAGAGGCCUGCACAUGAGCUGCCUUGUUCUGGCUUUCAACACAACUCAAAUCAGAAACACAUUACCAUAAUCUGAAACAGCCCACUGCUAACACAAGACAGAUGGCGGGUAAUAACCCAUGCAUCAUUAAUAAAUAAAUUCCAGCAUUAAAGGCUUUACAAAGUAUGACAACAUUAUCUGGGCACAAUUACUGCCCCUCUCCCACCCCCGACAUCAUUUCAGUGUGUUAUGGGCUAUGUUAGGUGUUUUUGUUUUUUUUUUUUCUUUUUCCUCCCUCCAACUCCACGGGUCUGAAGGAAGUUUAAAUACGGCACAAGUUUUAACCAGAUGAAAGCUAUCUCAGUGUACAGGACAGGUCUGAAACUCCAUAAGGGAAAAAUAAAAUAGCUGCCAAAGUGUAAUAGCUCCCAUGUUCUGCUGUUGGAUCAGCUCACGGCAAUUUACUGCACUGCCCUCCAUGGCUGGCCUCACCCGCUCUGGUACGCCUCUGUGCCUGCGUAGCACUACGCACUUCUAGCAAGAAUCUUGGCAUCAGGUUUGCCACAAAGCUGAAAGAUAUAUGUGUGAUCUCUCAGCUUUCCUUUUGCAAAUGAUACCAUCUGUCUCUUCUCCCCCCAGCUCCCCCCAACAACAGGCAAAGAGAAAACAAUCUUUGAUUAGAUUGAAAAAGCUGAAACAGGGGUAGGAGAGAGAGAGGGAAUUUUAACUCCAUAAAUAAUAUCGGAAAUAAAAAAAUGCCAUUCAUCUGAUGCCCAAAGAUAGCAAUUGCUUGACUUUGUUCUGUAGGAUAAUGUUAUCUCAACGUGAGGUGAGAGGUAUAGGAAAUUCGCAGAGGACUGCAGAGCCUCUUGGGUGAUCAUCUCUGGGAUUCCCCAGGGCUCCACAGCAUUUCUACAAAGCCUAGGCUGCCGUUUCCUAUGCAUACCAUUCUGAGCCAAAAAGCAAGCAUGGUGCUAGGCAUAAAUUCUGGAGAAAUAUAGGCUUUGGGAGACCAAUAUCAAGUUUGAUUCCCCCGUAUGAAAUUAAGUAUUCCUCCUCAACCAUUGGCAGUAGAAACGUUUUUGUCAACCAUAUCAAUAUUAUGUCUUUAAUAAAAAAGAGAAACUAUUUGAUGUUACUUCACUCAUUGAGUGAAGAGCUAGGGACUGAAACUAUAAGUGCAUUUUAAAUUGGCUAAUCUCAGAUGACUAGAAGGCCAAGUGAAAAUGUCUCCACAGCAUCAUCCAAUAAGCCAGCUGGCCAGUCACACAGACAUGACUUACAAUCGCUGAACACGCAGUUGCUUCUGCUCCAGGGCCAUUUGUGGCACCCUGUUCAGAAUGCCGCGCUCAAGUUAAAUGAAAUCACGGCUCAGAGAGAAACACCAGGGCGCCCGACACUGCAGGCUCAAAGGAGUCCAUGAGUUCCAGGGGUGGCAGAGUUCCAGGAGACUGAGUGGAAAUGUGAAAGGCCUCUUGAGGCCUAGGCUUGGAACUGAUAUGCUGUGACUUCCAAGGCAAACUAUUGGUCCAAGGAUGUCACGUGGCCAGCCAAGAAUUAAGGAGCAGGGGAGGAGAUUCCACUUCUUGAUGGAACUUGCUUCUUUCAAGUAAUAUUUCAAAAGGCAGCUUGAGGCCUCAGCUGAAGAAUAAAAGGACCAUAAGCAGAAUCUAUAAAUGGUGAAAGCAAACUGUCAACUGGAAUGUAUUCAGAAAUCCGCUCAGCCUAAUGCAUGGGUUCAAGAACAAACAUCAGAUCCAUGUUCUCUCCAAGAAUAUUCUCUCUUCAAAACAUCAGACUCAAAUCUAUUGGUUGGUUGGGAAUCUGCCUUCCAAUGCAGAGGACACAGGUUCAAGCCCUUGUCCAGGAAUUGGUCCAGAACAUGCUUCCAGACAACUGAGCCUGUGCGCCGCAACUACUGAAGCUCACGUAGUCUAGUGCCUGUGCUCCACAACAAAAGAAGCCACCACAACAAGCCCACACACUGCAGCUAGAGAGUAGCCUCUGUUUGCUAAAACUAGAGAAAGCCCAUGCACAGCAAUGACAAGCCCAUGUACUGCAUCAAAGACCCACACAGUCAGAAAAUAAUUUGUCUUUUGUCUAUCAGUUACUAAAAAGUUAUAAUAAAAUCUUCCAUUAUGAUUGUGGAUUGUAUAAAUUCA